rnacentral:misc_RNA from 1 species
GUAAUCCAAUGCCUACACGAAAUAUCUUUAAUAACUGAAGAUUGUACUAGCAUUGAAAAAAAUAAUGAUUCAAGAUAUGGAUGUAGCAAGUAACCUCUAACAUUUGAAAAUGAAAACGCGCAUUUAACUGAAAACAGGGAAAGAAGAUACACCAAUGCCACUUAAGUCAUGAGAAACCAAAGCAUAAGUAGCACAUAAUUACAUGCCCUAAGUGUUAGUAGUAUACCCUAGAGCAU